rnacentral:rRNA from 1 species
AUGUAUAUUACUCCAACAUAGUGUUACUGUACCGAAUGCCAGAGGAACUGUGCAGUUAAGCACACUCAGGCUAGAGUAUUACUAGUAUGGGUUACCACUUGGGAAUUCCUAGUAUUUUACAUU